rnacentral:snRNA from 1 species
GUGCUCGCUUCAGCAGCACAUAUAUUAAAAUUGGAACAAUACACAGAAGAUUAGCAUGGCCCCUGCACAAGAAUGACAGGCAAAUUCAUGACGCAUUUCAUAAAUUA